ensembl:snRNA U6 U6 spliceosomal RNA
GUGCUCACUUCAGCAGCACAAAUACUAAAACCGGAAUGAUAUAGAGAAGAUCAGCCUGUCUUCUGUGCAAGGGUGACAUGCAAACUUAUGGAGCAUUCUAUAUUUUA